CGCAAUCACCUACUCACGCAUCCGUGCUUUUUAUGCAGCAGCACCAACCUCCGUGUGACGUUUGUCUUUGAAUUUUGCUAAGCGUAAAUUUACUUCCCGAGAGACUAAAGAAAGUUGGUAGUUUCUCCGGCGGCGCCGGUUCCGGGUGCGACGCUCUCGGGCGUGACCCCGCCGCGGCAACGUUUGGUAACGUUCACCUGGGUUUGAAGUUGUAAACCUCGGUAUGACUUCUGUAGGGGUGACCUGCGGAGGGAUCGUUACCGAGUUUACAACUCCCAAACCCAAUGUGAACGUUACCAAACUGUUGCCUCGGCGGGGUCACGCCCCGGGUGCGUCGCAGCCCCGGAACCAGGCGCCCGCCGGAGGAACCAACCAAACUCUUUCUGUAGUCCCCUCGCGGACGUAUUUCUUUACAGCUCUGAGCAAAAAUUCAAAAUGAAUCAAAACUUUCAACAACGGAUCUCUUGGUUCUGGCAUCGAUGAAGAACGCAGCGAAAUGCGAUAAGUAAUGUGAAUUGCAGAAUUCAGUGAAUCAUCGAAUCUUUGAACGCACAUUGCGCCCGCCAGUAUUCUGGCGGGCAUGCCUGUCCGAGCGUCAUUUCAACCCUCGAACCCCUCCGGGGGAUCGGCGUUGGGGAUCGGGACCCCUCACACGGGUGCCGGCCCCUAAAUACAGUGGCGGUCUCGCCGCAGCCUCUCCUGCGCAGUAGUUUGCACAACUCGCACCGGGAGCGCGGCGCGUCCACGUCCGUAAAACACCCAACUUUCUGAAAUGUUGACCUCGGAUCAGGUAGAUGCCAUCAUUCCCGCUGAACUUAAGCAUAUCAAAGGCCCGGGAGGAGAAAUCUUUACGGAGUUAACAACUCCCAAACCCAAUGUUGAACGUUUACCAAACUGUUGCCUCGGCGGGGUCACGCCCCGGGUGCGUCCACCCGGAAACCGGCGCCCGCCGGAGGAACCAACCAAACUCUUUCUGUAGUCCCUCGGGAC
rnacentral:rRNA from 1 species